rnacentral:rRNA from 1 species
GACGAACGCUGGCGACGCGCUUAACACAUGCAAGUCGAACGGAAAGGCCUGCUUUCCCUUGUGGAUUGCGGGUACUCGAGUGGCGAACGGGUGAGUAACACGUGAGUGAUCUGCCCCCAACUUGGGUAUAAGCCUGGGAAACUGGGUCUAAUUCCCGAUAGGACUGCAGGGUGGUGCCUGUGGUGGAAAACGAUUUUCUAGUGGUUGGGGAUGAGCUCGCGGCCUAUCAGCUUGUUGGUGGGGUAAUGGCCUACCAAGGCGGCGACGGGUAGCCGGCCUGAGAGUGUGGACGGCCACAUUGGGACUGAGAUACGGCCCAGACUCCUACGGGAGGCAGCAGUGGGGAAUAUUGCACAAUGGGCGGAAGCCUGAUGCAGCGACGCCGCGUGGGGGAUGACGGCCUUCGGGUUGUAAACUCCUUUCGACCGCGAGGAAGCCACCUGGUUGGAAGGGUGGUGACGGUAGUGGUAGAAGAAGCACCGGCUAACUACGUG